AGGUGCUGCGGAUAACAUCGAUUGCUGCAUUAAUCACGAUCCAUUGCUCUAGGUCGAUCCCUGAGGUCAUGAGCAUAUACGUUCAAAUUACAUGUGCCAGUUACCCCAUUUCAGAUAUGUUCAGAGAUGCACCAAUUACCGGAUCAUUCGAUUCAUCCAUAAGGGGUCAGUACAAUAACAAUAAUAAUACUUUUAUUGAUGGUCCAACUUCCCCUGGUUCUCCAAUAAUUGUUAAUGAACCUUGGGUUGCUUUCAGUCUCAGUCGGAGCCAAUAUGAGGAAAAGGAAUUGAACCGGCCUCCAACAGAUGCAGAAGUGUUUAUAGAGACUCGUAAAAAGAAGAAAAAAGCGCAACCAGAAAAAACACUUGACAUGAGUGGUACAUUGGAACAACUAACUCAGGAGCUAACUCAGGAACAAACUGAAGGAGAAAAUAUAGAUGCAUGGCAUCUUGUCAAUAAAAAAGAACAUCCUGGACGUGUGCGUCUUCGGGGACGGGCGAUCAUCAUCGUCAUUUAGGGCUUUACUAAAGAUUUGGCAUUCUCAAAAUGCAAUGGCAGGCCAAGAAUCCUUCAGAUCCAUUACAAGAUCCUAUUACAGAGGAGCUGCAGGCGCACUAUUAGUCUAUGAUAUCACCAGGAGGGAGACUUUUAAUCAUCUGGCAGGCCAACAUAUCGCCUUCCAAUUUCAGAAGUUUCAUGUUUUGUAAUCAAAUGUUGAUGUACAUUGUUUGAAUGUUAGUUCGGUACGAUAUUUUCUGAGUUGAAAUGUUGGUAGUGUGGAUUUAAUACUUUGUAGUUUUUAUACUA